rnacentral:rRNA from 1 species
GACGAACGCUGGCGGCGUGCCUAAUACAUGCAAGUAGAACGCACAGUUUAUACCGUAGCUUGCUACACCAUAGACUGUGAGUUGCGAACGGGUGAGUAACGCGUAGGUAACCUGCCUGGUAGCGGGGGAUAACUAUUGGAAACGAUAGCUAAUACCGCAUAAUAUUGAUUAUUGCAUGAUAAUUGAUUGAAAGAUGCUAUUGCAUCACUACCAGAUGGACCUGCGUUGUAUUAGCUAGUAGGUGAGGUAACGGCCCACCUAGGCGACGAUACAUAGCCGACCUGAGAGGGUGAUCGGCCACACUGGGACUGAGACACGGCCCAGACUCCUACGGGAGGCAGCAGUAGGGAAUCUUCGGCAAUGGACGAAAGUCUGACCGAGCAACGCCGCGUGAGUGAAGAAGGGUGUCGGAUCGUAAAGCUCUGUUGUAAGAGAAGAACGGGUGUGAGAGUGGAAAGUUCACACUGUGACGGUAUCUUACCAGAAAGGGACGGCUAACUACGUG